UAUAGUAGUCUCACAGUUUGUUAUGUUUUAGACCUAUAAUAUCCCCUCAAAAGCUCAUAUAUUCACAGGCUGAGCUUCUUGACGGUGAUUAGAUUAUGAGAGCUCUAAUGUCGUUAAUGAGGUCAUAAUUUGAUGCCAUUAUGAGGAGAGGAUGGAAAUAAAGGUUGGGUUUGGUUGGAGGGAGUGCCUCACAGAGGCCUGACAUGAGGACUCUACCUGAUUCCCAGCCCCUUCUUCUGUGGCUCUUUCCCACUUUCUGCUAGCAGUUUCUAGGAUGGCAGAGAGAUACUGCACAGCCACGUGGAUGAUAAAGAAUUGUGACGCAGCCAGCCAUACAUGCUGCCAACUUGAAAUCUGAAUAUGAUGACAGCAAGAACACCACUGUGGCCACAAACAGACACUUCAGACCUGGAAAACUCAACUCAGGAAAAGAAAGUUUAAAUGGAAGAAAUAGCUAAUGCCUCGGUCCAGCAAGAGGAAGAUCAGCUUCCACUAAGUGGCUCAUGAGCAGAGUCAGUGCAGAACUCACUCCUUGAUUUGGCUUUAGCUUUAAUAAGACUUUAUGGAGAUAGUUAAAUGCCACAAAAAAUUAGCAUACAUUCUGCCCACGAAUGAUCAAGACCAGUACUGACCUUAGACCUGGAAGAGUCCUACCUCAAGUGCAUACUUGAGACCCAGUUCAAAGACUGUCCUCACCUACAAUCCUCUGCCUAGACAAAAUGGAAAAGACCAUGCAUAAUACAUUUAAUUUGGUGUAGAUGCUUAAUGAUAAUAGAAUAUCCUCAAGUUAAAGACUCCUGAGAGGUUAAUCUGAGUCCCCUCCGUAAGCUGUGAAGUCAUGGUUGUGAUACAGUGUUGUAUGUAGUUGUAUCAGUGUAUCACUUUUGUGUGUAGUUGGUAUUUUAUUUUUUAUUUUUUGAACCCUCUAAGAACCUUAGGUUCAAAAGCCAGGUCUUAGUCAUUUAUGUCUCCAGCAUGGACAGACCGUGGCACUUAGGAAGAAUUUAUUAUGUAUAAACGUAUAAAGAAUUUAUUACGUAUUUAUUAGUAUAAUAAACUAAUAUAACCACAAUAUGUGGUUAUAUUACCACAUAUAACCACAAUAUGUGCAAAU